CACAGGACAUUCCAGCUGUGACUCAUUGCCACUACUGGCGAGCAUUCUGGCUUGGUCCCGCGAAGGAAACCACUCUAGAAAUAGUUUUGAGAGACAAAAUAUGACGGGUGUAGAGAACUUGAGCUGACUCAUGUAAAACACUUCACAGAAAUCAUCCCCGGCAGACCAGAUGGGAAAGCAGUGAAUCAAUGAAUCACUUGUGAAGAGAUGGACGGCCAACAUGAAUCGCUUGCAGCAUGUUGCUAUGACAACCUGCUUCUGUGUGGACCCUGAGGCCAUUCCCAAGUGUGGGAGCUUCGAGUGAAGUAAGCAGACUAAAAUGUUGGCUUUAUCAUUUAUCCUUUGUGAGAAGUGCCAAAUGCAUCAGUGACGCCAGCUGCAGACAGAAAGCAAGAGGAAACUCAAGUGUCUUAAGAGAUGAACCAUUAAUUAUAUCUCAGCCUUGUCUUCGCCUGGACCAGCCCCACUCCCAUCCAAUCAUUGGUCCACUUCUGCUGAUUUUACCUCCUCGGUGCUCUCAAAUCCUUGUAUUACAUUCUCCCUCCUCAGCUUGCAAGGAACUGGUGCCCUCUCUCUCUCUCUCUCUCUCUCUCUCUCUCUCUCUCUCUCGCCUGGGCUGCAGCGACCCCCUCACUGGAUCUCCACAGUUACUUUCACCUCCCUUCCAUUUUCCCUUAAAGCCAGAGUCUUUAAAGGCGCCAAUCUGAGCAGGCCGUUUCAGGCUCACACUCCUGAAAGACCUCUUGCUGCUCCAGGGGAGGUCCCUGAAACUCCUCAUGCCCCCUCAGUGCUGGGCUAUGCUCGCUCGCUCGCUGGCUCGCAGGGUCCCAUCCACCCAGAAGCCCCACACUCAGCCUCAGCCACACCGGACUUCCUUCAGUUCUGACAAGGAUUUUCUCCUGGGCUCGACUCUAGCCAGGCCUCUCCGAACCUUCUUCCUGACUAGGCCUCAACCUUGGCCUACAAAAAAUGAGGACUCUGGGCACACGUGCUUUCAUCCACUCACGCCCCCCAUAUUAAAAGACUUAAACACUAACAUGGUUUCUAACAGCUCAAGGUCACAUCCCCAGGAUGACCCCUGCCCCGCUUAAAGUGUCUGCCUGAGAAAAGCUCAAGGCAACCAGUAGAAGUGAUGGUUUGUUCCAGCCACACCUGAGGCUGGGCCCCUGACCACCCUUUCUUAGAACACUUACUAAAAAGGGCUUAUAGGUGUGGACCCUUCCUCUGUCCCUUUGAGAUGUAUGUGUGCCUCCUAGGACUCAGGAGUACUUUCUCAAGGAUCUGAGAGCCAUGCCUUUGAAGUGUAAUCUUCAGGAAGGAUGGGACCCUGGCUCCCAGUCUGUGUGGGAGGGCAGAAUCCUAACUCCCAUGGCUGCAGCCAACAGCAUGCUGCAGCUGGCCUGGCCACACGGACACGGACUAACCUUUUGUCAUUUCUCACUUCCCUGAGUGUUCGGGCUGCUGCCCCCUCCCAACUCCCUCAUUCUCCCUUUAAAACGUCCAGUCGCCUCCCUACAAAGCGAAGGGAGUGCGGUUCGUGCUGGAUCCCACUGUAGGAGCACAUGACGGAUUAAACUCUACCUUUGCCACUGGAACUCGCGGCUGCCUUAGCUCUGACAGCUCCUCCAACACAACUUCUCUUUUGAACUUGGUAAGUUAUUCUUCCUCGGGGAAGACAAGGAAGGGACACAGUCUAUGUGUCUGAAAUGUAUUUGAAUGACCAGAUGAAUGGAUAUGUGAAUGAAUAAUGCAUAUUUAGGGUGGCUUGAGGACAUACCGCAGCAAAUGCGGAACAAAACAACAACCCCUAUUUGACUGUGUUUAAUUUAGCAUUUCUCAAACUGAUAUUUGUAAAACAUCUAUCGACAUCUGCGGCGGAGAGAGGUAUAAAGGCUUCCCCAAAUCGACUUCCCUUUUGUCUGGGUGCCUGAAUCACCAUGUGCAAGGCAAGGAACACAUGCAUGCUCUCCAACACGACUGAGAAAUAAACUUGUAGUACACGAAGCAUCUGAGAACGUAUAACAACAGCUCGUGUUACCUUAACUAAUCGCAAUAUCACCCGGGCCUGGUGUUUCACAGUCGCAGUACGGAAAAUUGCAUGGCUCAGGCCGCAGACUUAGAAAACACAAGUGUAGGACUUGAAGACCCAGUUUGGGUCCAUUCUUUCGCUUGAAAUGCAUGAUUUUGUAAUUGGAAGAGGACACUGGAGUGUAAUUAACAAUAAUAUAAACAUCUGGUGGACAAGAUGACAUCAGAGAGAGGAUUUGGCAAGAGAUAACAUCAAUCUUAUGAAGACUGGGAAAUGCAUUGGACAGAAGUCACUGACAUAAUCAAGAGGAUUUGAGAAGGGGAAGGACCAGAAGGGUAUACAGAAAUGAGCUGGAGAAAAAAAAAAAAAAAAAAGAAAUGAGCUGGAAGAUGAU